rnacentral:rRNA from 1 species
AUUGAACGCUGGCGGCAGGCCUAACACAUGCAAGUCGAACGGUAACAGGAAACAGCUUGCUGUUUCGCUGACGAGUGGCGGACGGGUGAGUAAUGUCUGGGAAACUGCCUGAUGGAGGGGGAUAACUACUGGAAACGGUAGCUAAUACCGCAUAACGUCGCAAGACCAAAGAGGGGGACCCUCGGGCCUCUUGCCAUCGGAUGUGCCCAGAUGGGAUUAGCUUGUUGGUGGGGUAACGGCUCACCAAGGCGACGAUCCCUAGCUGGUCUGAGAGGAUGACCAGCCACACUGGAACUGAGACACGGUCCAGACUCCUACGGGAGGCAGCAGUGGGGAAUAUUGCACAAUGGGCGCAAGCCUGAUGCAGCCAUGCCGCGUGUAUGAAGAAGGCCUUCGGGUUGUAAGGUACUUUCAGCGGGGAGGAAGGGAGUAAAGUUAAUACCUUUGCUCAUUGACGUUACCCGCAGAAGAAGCACCGGCUAACUCCGUG